GCGCAGCAGUCGAGAAAACUUCACACUGCACGAAAGCGCGAUGAGGGAAUCCCAAGUGCUUGCACGUAAGUGCAAGCUGUUUCUCUGUUUAAAAAGCAGAGAGAGUAAGGGCUGGGUAAGACGGGUGCCUGCCGCCGCGGUAAUACCUGCAGCUCGAGUGGUGACCGCUAUUAUUGGGCCUAAAACGUCCGUAGCCGGUCUAGUAAAUGCCUGGGUAAAUCGUGAGGCUCAACCUUACGAAUUCCGGGUAGACUGCUAGACUUGAGACCGGGAGAGGCUAGAGGUACUCCUGGGGUAGAGGUGAAAUUCUGUAAUCCCAGGGGGACCACCAGUGGCAAAGGCGUCUAGCUAGAACGGGUCUGACGGUGAGGGACGGGGCCCUGGGGCGCAAACCGGAUUAGAUACCCGGGUAGUCCCUGA
rnacentral:rRNA from 1 species